rnacentral:rRNA from 1 species
AGUUUGCUUGCAAACUGGAGAUGGCGACCGGCGCACGGGUGAGUAACACGUAUCCAACCUGCCGAUAACUCGGGGAUAGCCUUUCGAAAGAAAGAUUAAUACCCGAUGGUAUAAUNANACCGCAUGGUCUUGUUAUUAAAGAAUUUCGGUUAUCGAUGGGGAUGCGUUCCAUUAGGCAGUUGGUGAGGUAACGGCUCACCAAACCUUCGAUGGAUAGGGGUUCUGAGAGGAAGGUCCCCCACAUUGGAACUGAGACACGGUCCAAACNNNNNNGGGAGGCAGCAGUGAGGAAUAUUGGUCAAUGGGCGCAGGCCUGAACCAGCCAAGUAGCGUGAAGGAUGACUGCCCUAUGGGUUGUAAACUUCUUUUAUAUGGGAAUAAAGUUUUCCACGUGUGGAAUUUUGUAUGUACCAUAUGAAUAAGGAUCGGCUAACUCCGUGCCAGCAGCCGCGGUAAUACGGAGGAUCCGAGCGUUAUCCGGAUUUAUUGGGUUUAAAGGGAGCGUAGGUGGACAGUUAAGUCAGUUGUGAAAGUUUGCGGCUCAACCGUAAAAUUGCAGUUGAUACUGGCUGUCUUGAGUACAGUAGAGGUGGGCGGAAUUCGUGGUGUAGCGGUGAAAUGCUUAGAUAUCACGAAGAACUCCGAUUGCGAAGGCAGCUCACUGGACUGCAACUGACACUGAUGCUCGAAAGUGUGGGUAUCAAACAGGAUUAGAUACCCUGGUAGUCCACACAGUAAACGAUGAAUACUCGCUGUUUGCGAUAUACAGUAAGCGGCCAAGCGAAAGCAUUAAGUAUUCCACCUGGGGAGUACGCCGGCAACGGUGAAACUCAAAGGAAUUGACGGGGGCCCGCACAAGCGGAGGAACAUGUGGUUUAAUUCGAUGAUACGCGAGGAACCUUACCCGGGCUUAAAUUGCAUUUGAAUAUAUUGGAAACAGUAUAGCCGUAAGGCAAAUGUGAAGGUGCUGCAUGGUUGUCGUCAGCUCGUGCCGUGAGGUGUCGGCUUAAGUGCCAUAACGAGCGCAACCCUUAUCUUUAGUUACUAACAGGUCAUGCUGAGGACUCUAGAGAGACUGCCGUCGUAAGAUGUGAGGAAGGUGGGGAUGACGUCAAAUCAGCACGGCCCUUACGUCCGGGGCUACACACGUGUUACAAUGGGGGGUACAGAAGGCAGCUACCUGGUGACAGGAUGCUAAUCCCAAAAGCCUCUCUCAGUUCGGAUCGAAGUCUGCAACCCGACUUCGUGAAGCUGGAUUCGCUAGUAAUCGCGCAUCAGCCAUGGCGCGGUGAAUACGUUCCCGGGCCUUGUACACACCGCCCGUCAAGCCAUGAAAGCCGGGGGUACCUGAAGUACGUAACCGCAAGGAG